ACACUCCUGCGGGAGGCAGCAGUGGGGAAUAUUGGACAAUGGGCGCAAGCCUGAUCCAGCCAUGCCGCGUGAGUGAUGAAGGCCCUAGGGUUGUAAAGCUCUUUCACCGGUGAAGAUAAUGACGGUAACCGGAGAAGAAGCCCCGACUAACUUCGUGCCAGCAGCCGCGGUAAUACGAAGGGGGCUAGCGUUGUUCGGAUUUACUGGGCGUAAAGCGCACGUAGGCGGACUAUUAAGUCAGGGGUGAAAUCCCGGGGCUCAACCCCGGAACUGCCUUUGAUACUGGUAGUCUUGAGUUCGAGAGAGGUGAGUGGAAUUCCGAGUGUAGAGGUGAAAUUCGUAGAUAUUCGGAGGAACACCAGUGGCGAAGGCGGCUCACUGGCUCGAUACUGACGCUGAGGUGCGAAAGCGUGGGGAGCAAACAGGAUUAGAAACCCUUGUAGUCCCAUGAU
rnacentral:rRNA from 1 species